CAAAUCAAGUUGAGCGGGUCUCAUCGAAUUUUCUGGUAUUUUUGACGAAAAUAUGCAACCAGGGAUCAGUUGAUUUAAUACCUUUUCAUCGACCGGUAGAUUUAAGGAGGUUAUUGCUUGGAAAACUGCUCGAGCUCCCGGGCUGGCAAUUGGCAUGCACUGCAGUGCAGAAACAGGUACAGUGAAAUCAAUUAUGCAGGUUCUUGAAGGAAAAAAAUCAUGGAUGACAACAAUGUAUGAUUUACCAGACCAAGGGAUACCAAUGUUUUUUGAUGGUACUUGCUCCAUCUACUCAGCUUACUGUGAGAGAGUUAACACCUUAUUGACAGAUCUUUCAAGAAGAAG